AUACCUUCGUUUGGACUGAAUCGAAAAGCUUACUACGAUCAAAUUAUAUUUUGUGGUACUUGAAUAUUAGCCCAUGGUAUAAUCAGUUUCUACUCAAAGUCUAGAAAUCAAAGGACCCCAAAUUUGCUAGAAAACGAGUAGAGGUUGGUUGUCCUGCAAUCUAACCUCAAUAAUUAUGGUUUAAACUUUAUAAAUUCUGGAUUUUUUUAGUUAAUUGUUUGGACUUUGAAUUGGCAGAUGAUGUUAUAUUAAGUUUUGAACUUUGAUUUUUGUUUUGUGUGAUUGCAGAGCAAGGAGAAUUGACCCCAGUUAGCUCCAAGCUUGCGGAACCUAGAAGAAUCUCAAAUUCAGUUUCGGACUCUGACUAAAAAUGAAACUUGGUGCUACUAAGCGAUCGUCCUCAGCCCUCAAAAUUCAAGUAACCCCAUGAUUUUUACAUUACUGCGUUCGUUUUCUCUACUAAUUAUUGUUAUAUGAAUUGUAUUCUUCUAUUAAAAAUGAUUAAUUAGACUGUCUAGAAAAAAAAAAAAAAAAACCUCAGGCAUUGCAGGUUUGGGAUGAUAGUUUAAAUCGAUAUGCUCAUUAGCCAGUCAGAGAAUCUAAUUUGGGAAGUGGGUUUUAAAGUUUCAAUAGUUUCGUUAUGUGUAAUUUUCUUGCUUUGCCUACUAAGAAUCUAAUAACCAAAUGCUUGGUUAUUUUCUCCAAAUGGUUUUUAAUUUGUUGUAGGUAAACGAGAGCUACUCUACUAUUUAUGCAGCAGGGGAAGGGAAGGGAAGUAAAAAUUAUAGGAAAAUGCAUAAAAGUUACAAGCUUCUAAUUAAAAAUAGAAAUGGAGUGACCAAACAAAAAAUAGGUAAAACUGACCACUACUUUCUUUCUAUUUAAAUAUAAAUCAAUUGAUUAAGUUUGUGCCUUCACAAGUUUAAAAUGAAGUUAUGUGUUGAUUUUAAAAGAACUAUGCAUGCUGGAUUUUUAUAGAAGUGUCAUGAAAGUUUUAUACCAAACUUUUUACAGGAAUUAAGUUGAUUUAAGUAUGGGUGGUUUUGUAUUUGAAAUCUGAAAGGAGAAACAGAAAUUACAAGAAGAAGAGGAAUACUGAAUUCCGAUCAUGGCCUUCUCUUCCUGCCUCUUAUCCAAAUCCUGACAAGGAUCUUAUUGAAAAGCAAGGAAGAAAAAUUGAAUUAGAUUAUUGUGGGGCUCAGGAAAAACUAUGCUUCUUUGCAAGAGAAAUUUACGAAAUAAGAGUUGGAUAAGAUGGCUGCAAUGGAAUCUCUCAUUAGGGAAAGAUAGGCUAGACUUGAAAUUGAGCAACAACAAAAUUCCCUCUCAUAUGAGCACACGAGAGUUCAAAGAGAGCUUUCAAGUGCUACUCAAAAGAUGUUUAAAUGAUGGAGACGUUCGCAAAGCUGUUACCCGGAGGAGACAUGUCUGGAUGAAGGAAAGGUGUCUGCACUGCCCUUGCUAUCUCAAAUGCCAUCACCAAUCUCUCUGUGUUUUCGGGCAUUGAAGCUAAAUAUGGAGAGGGUUUUGAGACUUUUAGACCUAUUGGACCUCCCAAGGUUUGCGUGGAUUUGUUGAACGACAAACUACAAGGAGGUUUUCUUAAACGAAUAUGAUAUGCUAUGAAACCGAAUGAAGCUUACGGUCUUCUAUUCUCUUUUGUUAAUUUCGUGAUUUGAACUUUGUUUUUCCAAUACCUUAUCACAAAAUAAUUCCACCUUGGACAAAUUACAAGGUAUGCUGCAACCUGUGCUUUGAUUAAUUGCAUUCAAAUUGAUACUGCU